rnacentral:rRNA from 1 species
UACGUAGGGUGCAAGCGUUGUCCGGAAUUAUUGGGCGUAAAGAGCUCGUAGGCGGUCCGUCGCGUCGGCUGUGAAAACUCAGGGCUCAACCCUGAGCCUGCAGUCGAUACGGGUGGACUAGAGUAUGGCAGGGGAGACUGGAAUUCCUGGUGUAGCGGUGAAAUGCGCAGAUAUCAGGAGGAACACCGAUGGGCGAAGGCAGGUCUCCUGGGCAUUAACUGACGUGAGGAGCGAAAGCAUGGGGAGCGAACAGG